rnacentral:lncRNA from 1 species
AACCUUAAAAACAUACUAUUGCAGCAGUUGUAGCUAUGGUUACAAUGAAUGCAUCUGACACUAUGGCAUGUCCCUGUUAGGAUCUCCAUCAAUUGCAGAAGUAUAUGUUGAGAUUCCGACUUAAAGAUCUAGUUACGGGUCUGAGAACAGGAAAAUCUUCCUCUAGCCACAUAGAUUUUCCCCUGUUUGUGUUCUUCACUCUGCGGAAAGAACCUAUGGUUGCCGGUGAAUUAUAAUGGGGCUCGUUUAGAGGGAGCACCCAUCUCAAAGAAAUAAGAAUUGUUUGAUAAUCUGCUUUUUUUUUUCCUCUCCCCGUUGAUACAAUAGUACUACCUUAUAAUAGAAGGCUACAAAGAUCUUAAAAGGAAAUAGAAAUAAAUUAGAAAUCUUAACUAACAAGAGGCCUAACAAAUAACAGAAUUAUUAGGAGAUAAGAUUCUGAAACGGAAGGAUAAGUAUUCAGCCAACUGUUUUUCUUGAUCAAGCCUUUGUCUCUGCCCGAAAAUCAUUCAGCCAGUUGCUCCAUCGAUCCAGCCUCUGUCCUUGCUCGAGUCUUGCACUUUCCAUAAACUUUCCCCACAAAUGAGUCCCUAACAUCACUCCCCGCCUGGACAAAGAGCUUGUCCUUAAGCUCAAAGUUUGGAUAAGCACUUCGGAUAUCCAUGACAGACUCCCAUGUAGCUUCAAUGAUGGGCAGGCCGCACCAUUGCACCAGGACCUCCCACAAGCCCCUAUUGAGACGAGCACAGAGAAUGGUUUGAGGUAUAGGAACUGUCUUGCCAUUAACC